UACCUUGUAGUGUAACGGUAGCACAUGACACUUUGACUGUCAUAGUUAAGGUUCAAAUCCUUACAGGGUAA
rnacentral:tRNA from 1 species